AUUGAACGCUGGCGGUAGGCCUAACACAUGCAAGUCGAACGGCAGCACAGUAAGAGCUUGCUCUUACGGGUGGCGAGUGGCGGACGGGUGAGGAAUACAUCGGAAUCUACUUUUUCGUGGGGGAUAACGUAGGGAAACUUACGCUAAUACCGCAUACGACCUACGGGUGAAAGCAGGGGAUCUUCGGACCUUGCGCGAUUGAAUGAGCCGAUGUCGGAUUAGCUAGUUGGCGGGGUAAAGGCCCACCAAGGCGACGAUCCGUAGCUGGUCUGAGAGGAUGAUCAGCCACAAUGGAACUGAGGCACGGUCCAGACUCCUACGGGAGGCAGCAGUGGGGAAUAUUGGACCAUGGGCGCAAGCCUGAUCCAGCCAUACCGCGUGGGUGAAGAAGGCCUUCGGGUUGUAAAGCCCUUUUGUUGGGAAAGAAAAGCAGCAGGUUAAUACCCCGCUGUUCUGACGGUACCCAAAGAAUAAGCACCGGCUAACUUCGUG
rnacentral:rRNA from 1 species